AAAUAAGAGGCCUCAAGCCGUAUGUAAGAAACAAGAAAAUUUGUGCCUUAAGAGCAACUAUCAACUUAAAUCAAAGAGGGGUAAGAGCCUAGGAAGAGAGAGAAUGCCGAAAGACUUCUAAUGUAUGGAGUUUAAACAUCAGAUGGUGAUUGAUUGCUAUUAAUUUAUGUCAGCAAAGGAGGAGAAGAAAUACGUAAAACUGCCUCUGAAGAAUUUACAUUAAACACCAAAAGAAUCUGACUCUGAAAAUGAAGAAACAAGGAAUAUUGUUUGUUUUGGGAAUCAAAAAAAAAAAAAACUUCCCAUUUGAGUACACAAUUUCCUAAACAAGAUACAUGAUAAUUCCAUACACUAUGCUUUCCGAAGAAACUUUGUAAAACGUAUUUUCAUUAUUCAAAACUUGAAAACACAGAAACAAUAUGAUGCAAAAAAUUAUCUUUAGCAUUAUUCCACUAAGAUAAUUCAUUUUAACAUCCAUAUAUUCAUUAUUAUGUAAAAUACCUAUCAGUAUGUGGGUAUAUCUUUGUGUGUAUAUUUUAACAAAACAAAAUUCAAUAAAAAUUGAAAUACAGAAAUGACAAAAACACACAAAAAAUAUAAAUUAUUUCCAUUGUAGCAUAUAUUACCUUUUUCACCUAACAUUAUACUGUAGGAAUAUAUUCUUUCAUCAUUCAAUGCUUUUGAAAAUAUAAUAAUAUUCCAUUUUAAGGACAUGCUAUAAUUUAGUUCAUUAGUUUUUAAACUUUUAGAUUAUCUCAUUUUGUCAUCAUUUAAAAAAAGUGUUCCUGGAUGUCCUUUUGCAUAGACUUUUGAAUGUAUUUCUGACUAUUUUCUUAACCUGUCCUGUACUUCUGCAAGUAGAACUGCUUGAGCAGAGAUUAGGAGCAAUUUUAAGGUUUUUCAAAAAUCUUGACAAACUAUUCUGCAGGAAAAAUGUAUCUUGUUACCAUCAGCAUUUUUAAGUAACUAGUGACUAAUUGUAAAAAUAAUUGUGUUUCCUUGUAUUUAAGCCUUGCGCUAUAGAUUUUAAAAAUUUGUCCUUUUUUUUUUUUCAUUUGUAAAAAAAAGCCAUCUAAAAGACCUUAGAACCUGGUAUCAGCUGAAGCUUACUAAACCAUAUCAAGAAGAUCAUGUCAUUCUCAAGAAAAGCAUGUUUCAAAUAAAAAGGAAAUGUCAGCCCUGAGCGUUUUUAUUAACCAUCUCCCCAUCUGACUUCAGAGACAGCUUUAGCUGACCACUUCCUCUCUCGGGUUUAUUUGUAUUAGAAAUAAGUGGAUUCAUUAACUGUGCCACUUGGUGGUCAGGCCAGGCCUGCCAGUGUCCAAUAACAGGUAAUGGUUGUAUUUUUCACGGGGUGACUGAUGUUUACUUUGUUGAUGGCCCCAGGAGCUCAUGUAAUCUGAGAUAGGUCUUUGUUUACUUCUUGUUUUACUGAUAUGCUGACCCAUUUGAAACUAGCGAGAAAGAAAAAUAAACAUUCUGGAAUAUGGUACCUGAAGUCACUCUUCCUUAGUGGCUUUAUUGUAACCUCUUCAAAGGCUUUUGUUAACCCACUCUUUUCCCAGCAAAAAACCCUGAUCUGGUCUCUUUUCCAAUUAAACCAAAAGCAAUAUCACACCAAAUAAGCAAACAGAAAAUAUUGAAAUUACCACUUAAAGAGAGUUUUAUCUGGGGUUUAAUUGUGUGUGUACUCAAGCGUUUAGUGUAGGUCAUUUGCUAAUGACAUCUAGUAAUUUUUAAAAACUGGAUAAAACUGAUACUGAGCCUGUCUACAGCAAUUUAACUAUUUUGGGGGAGUAUAAAGUUAGAUUUGUCUAUACUGACUUGUUUGCUCCAUUUUAAAAACUGUGUUGGAAUGAUUUAUUAUGGAUGAUCCAAAAUAAACGUGAAGUGAGGAAACUAUUUUUUAAUUACCACUGGUAGCAUAUUUAAUGGAAUUGUGUUAUUGUGCCAGAAACCUUAUUGAGCUAUAUUUGUUCUAUUAUCUUACUCAUCAGCACAGCAAAAGUUCAUAUUUCAAGGGUGAAGGAAGUGAGGCAUAGAGAGGUUAAAUAAUUCCCCAAAGGCAGAGGGCCGCCAAUUGGUGAAUGUCAGACAUAAUCCCACGCCUGCCUGAGGCCGGAGUCCAUAUUCUUAACAGACAUCCUCUUUUGUCUCCUUAUUUCAUGAUGCCAAAUAUGCAUGACGCUGAUAUAAAGCGUAUAUAUUGGAAUCUGUAUAUUCAAAUGAGCGAUGUCCAUUCAGUCAAACUGGAAGUAUGCCAAUUACCUUCCUAUAUUCAACACUUAGCUCAGAGAUGAUGAGGCACUUCACAGUUGUUUAAUUGCACUGAGCACCCACCCCACAAGCCCAUUUUACUUCUGUUCAAACCAGGUUUGCUAUUCUAAUUUUGGAAUUAUGUUCAUUUGCA
rnacentral:lncRNA from 1 species